rnacentral:rRNA from 1 species
GCCUAUUAAUUGUAGGCUAGAAUGAAAGGAUAAACGAGAAUACACCUGUCUCCUUUAAGCCCAUAAAAAUUUAUCUUUAAGUGAAGAAGCUUAAAUAAAAGUGCAGGACAAGAAGACCCUAUAGAGCUUUACCUAAAAGAUACAUAAACAGUAACUGACGGUUCGGUUGGGGCGACCAGGGGACACUUAUCACCCCUAAAAUAUAAGAUAUACUAAUCACACUAAAGAUCCUUUUUCAAGAUCAAAGAAUCAAGCUACCUUAGGGAUAACAGGCUAAUCCUCUUAGAGAGCCCUUAUCGACAAGAGGGGUUGGCACC